CCGGGUUGCAGGCCCUUUGUUUAAAUUGAAUGGCGCGGCAAACACAGUGGUGAGAGCACUGUUUUGCGUGUGGAUUUUUGGCCGGCGGUGAUUUAACAGAGCGGUACACUGCAGUCAUCCUGCCCGUUUGCUUCCCUGGGCUUUUGUGCAACAUUAUCUGCAGUUCGCUUGGAUUUGUUGGUUCCGAGCAAGAGGUCAGCCGACUAAAUGCGUGCAGUUGCGGGGGAUUUUAAAGAGGAACGACCUGUAGCCACUGUUUUUCCCACCACCAUUGAUUGUGUAGCCUAUCAUGUAUUGUGAUGCCUUACCUAAACCGACGAUAUAGUGGUAGCUCGUUUGUAUAGGUAUCCUAGCUCAUAUCGAUAGUACUUUCAUACUGGUAGCGUGUUUGAUUUAAAGCUUGGUCAUUCAUACUGGUAGCGUACGUGAUCCAAACCUAUUGAUAGUCCAUUCAUACUGGUAGCGUGCAGCCAUAUUAAUAGCUUAUCCACACGGGUAGUUUGCUUGGUGUCUUAAGCUAGAGUAGCAGCGGUCAUACUGGAGCUGUGGCAUUAGGCCUAUUUACGUAUGUGCGUACUUUGUCUGUGAAACCACCUCCAAGUUGUGUUUGUUUUCUUUAUAUUUUGGUGGUGAGGCUUAUUCUUUUCUUUGUUUUCCUUUUUAUCCUUGCCAUGAUUACUGUGUGUGUGCCCUAUUUGGGGUUUGAAAUAUUUGCUUGAAGAUUAUGAUUUCAAUGGUUUGCAUUUGUUUUGUAGUGGGUACCCUAUACUGAAUACGGCUUAAUACUGCAACAGUAUUGAUUAGAGUACAUCUAUCUAUUCAUCCAGCUUUUAUACCAUGACAAACUACGUCAAAAAAUAAAAGUGCUUUAUUUUUGUACACAGUCUCCUACUCCAUUCAUUCAGUUGAAUACACCCUAGUGGGGAAUUCUGGGUAAUCUAGACCUGUGGUUUAAUGGUGACUAGGUAAGCUUAAUCGUGUAGGAGUCACAUAGGCUAGGUGUGACAACUGUGGUUGCACAGAGUGAAACCAAGUGUGUGUGUGUGUGUGUGUGUGUGUGUGUGUGUGAUGGUGGCAUAUUGGUAACAUUCUGUUUACCGAUAGACAGACAGAAAGACAUGCAUAUUAAUCCUGAAGGAGAUUUUGCAUCUUUAAAUAAAUGACCUGUUGUAAUAGUGUUCAUGACAACCAUAUCUAACAGGAGAUAAAUAAUAUAACCGCAAGCGGUGAUUUACGGGG